ensembl:lncRNA LSP1P5 LSP1 pseudogene 5
UCCGCCCUCGCAAAGGCACAGCGCGGGCGCAGGCGCCCAGAGGCGCACAGGAGACCUCAGGCCCAGACUCCACUCCCCAGCUGUGAAAGGACUGCUGGCCAGACCCCCAAGCUAGCCCGCCAGGCCUCCAUAGAGCUGCCCAGCAUGGCUGCAUCCAGUACCAAGAGUUGGUGGGAGACGGGUGAGGUAUAGGCUCAGUCUGCGGCCAAGACUCCGUCCUGCAAGAUGGACUCUGUGACUACAUGACUAAUAAAAUAUGGCAGAAAUGACACCAUGCAGUUUCCAAGCCCAGGCCUUAGGAGACAGGCAGCUUCCAGUUCAGUCUUUUGGAGGGUCAGCUCUGGGGCCCUCAGCCAUCACGCAUGGAGUCCAACCACCCUGAGACGUCAUGCUGGAGACCCACCUGUGGAUGCCCCAGUCAAGAGUCCUGGCUGAGCCCAGCCUCCCAGCCACCCCCACCCAGGGCACCAGACCACGGAGCUUCUGGCCAAGGCUUCACCAACUUCACUUGAUGCUGUGAGGAACAGAACUGCCCAUCCAAGCCCUGCCAGAAUUUCUAACCCACAAAGCCACGAGUCACAAUAAAUGCUAUGGGACAAAAACAGUCA